ACUUACCUGGACGGGGUCAAUGGGUGAUCAAAAAGACUCAUGGCCUAGGUUGGUGACCGCCAUUGCACAUUAAGGUGGGGUGCCCGCCUAAGGUCUGCCCAAAGUGGCAGAGCCUACGUCAUAAUUUGUGGUAGCGGGGGCCUGCGUUCGCGCGGCCCCCUCCUAAGUUUCCAGUUCCCAAACUUUCGGCUUUUCCAGGUAUCUGAUUCUUGGUUGAGACUCCUGAUAAUAUUCUUCUCAUUGAAAUCGACUGAAGCUGAAAAAUUACUGGCAUGAUUUCAAUGUUUUCGUUUGGUGUAUUUGCAUACUACAAGGAAAUUAAUUUCAUUAUAUCUUUUGAAUAUAUUCUCCAUAUCUAAAUUGAGUGUAUUUAGAUUUAACUCAUCCAUAUGCUGUACAUAUGUUCAUCUUAAUCUGAAUGAAAACUUAUCCAAGCAUGAUGUUUUUCAUAUUUACUAUAAAACUUGAAGAUAGUCCCUUUUUUGAGCUACAUUGAGUUUUUUGAGGCUUGGGGACUAAUUCAUCAAAUUUCAAACAAACUAGAUUUGCUUCUUGCUCAUGAAUUUUGGCUCCAUUUUGGUGUGAACAUUCAGAUCACUUACCUGUGCUAGAUUUGCUCGAUGACUGUUCUCUGUUUGACAAAAAGAAGUUUCCCUUUCUUUUCAGUCAGUUCAACUAUGGUAUGGUAGAAAUUAGACCUUUAGCUGCAAGAGUCGGAACUUUGAUUGUGGUGUUAGAGAGGAUUAGCCAAGCGACUCACGGGAGAAAGAGUAAGAAAUGGAUGGUAGAGAGAAGAAAAGGCACAUCUUUUGUGAGAUCCCACGAACACGAUGGAAACCUCUCUAGAGUUUUUGAAAACCGUAACGCUGACAGUGAUACAUAACGAGUCAAAGCGGAUAAUAUCUGCUGCUAUCAAUAAGCUUGGAUUGUUACAUUUUCAUUUUCAUUUGCUCCGUUUCCGUUUUCGUUUUCAUUUUCAUUUGCUCCAUAUCCUCAUUAGCCAAAGAGACAGCUCCUUCAAAGCACAACUUGCUGCAUUUGACGCCGCAGUGGGUCUGGUCUAUAAGCUUAAUAAAAUUGAGUGACAUUACUGUCAGAUGCCUUCUCCUGUGGGCAUCAAAUUUCAUUCCUGUUCGGUCGGAACCUAUUUUCUUUAAAGCUAUAUAUAGCAAAUGAAGUGGAAAGCGUGAAGAUUUGAUAUU